GUGCUCGCUUUGGUGGCACACAUACCAAAAUUGGAAUGAUACAGAGAACGUUAUCCCAGUUCCUGCAUGAGGAUCACGUGCAAGUUUGUGAAGUGUUAAAAAAAAAA
rnacentral:snRNA from 1 species